UGAUAAAUAAAAGUAUUUUUGAGGGUUGAAAAAGUAUUUUGAUUUUUUUCACAAAUGCAAUAUUUAAUGGAGUGGAGUGUGAAUUAAUUCAGUACCUGGAGUAUAUAGGGUUAAUGUAAUUCAAAACCAGGAGCCUUGUACACAAGUAAGGAAGAAGAAGAGGAUAGAAGUAGAGAGUGAAAGACUAGAGAAAGCUAAGGAAAGGGUGGAAAGAUAGGACGGAAAAAGAAAGCAAUGAAGAUAUAUAACAGAUAUACUGAUGUGGCUUCUGGGGCAGGGAGAUGGAGGAGAAAGACUCUUGAAAGGCUGAAGGAAGACAUAAAGACAAAUACCAGGGAGAGUCACUGCUCCCAUGGCUGAAGCCCACCCCGACAGACCCCGUCAUCGGCAAGGCCACAGCUUGCGUGGAGGUCACCACAACCUGACACAGAGGCCCUUCUGCAAGGACAUCGGCAGUGACUGUCUCUUCCACUUCAGACUGACAGUUUUGUUACUCGUCAUCAUACCCAAAGCACAGAAACUGAACCCAGGUCCUCAUGCGUGCCAGGCAAGCGCUCUCAUCCCCACUCCAUGAGGGGCAAUGUCCCCAACUCUCCUAGCUUACAGAUCACACAAAAGCAAUGUGGUUGCAUUUUUCUGGGGAUAGAACAGAAACAUCCUCCAAGUACAUUUGCCAAAUACACUGAAGUAAUCAAGGUAAAUAAUUCCUACAGUGUGAUUAUCACAAUUAUGGGUAGCCAAUGCUUUUUUUGGAUUAUGAAUCAUUUUAAUAAAUAAUAUGGCUUUUGAUUGUCUCGAAGUUUUUCUGUUUAGUG
rnacentral:lncRNA from 1 species